rnacentral:rRNA from 1 species
CGUUCCCGGGCCUUGUACACACCGCCCGUCACGUCACGAAAGUCGGUAACACCCGAAGCCGGUGGCCCAACCCCUUGUGGGAGGGAGCUGUCGAAGGUGGGACUGGCGAUUGGGACG